GCUGCCCGCGGGUGCGGGACGCGGGGGUUAAUGGCAGAGCAUCGCGCGCGGCAAAGGGUUCCCCAAGAGGCCGGGCAGGUUGUUCGCCCUCUCGGGGAGCCCGCAGUCUAAAAUUAGAUUGAAGUGGAGAGAGUUUCGGGGAAACAACAAUGAAAAAGUACAUUCAAGGCAGCCUGAUUCACUGUGUCCGGGGCGGUGCGAAUUCGUCUUUAAAAGGGAUUUACUGAAAUGUAGGCAGGCACUGGCUCCCGGGGCUAGUGCCGCUGACCACUGCCUCGGAGGGGGCUGCUGGUGUGAAGGUUGGAAAAUCAGAUCAGAGCUGCGCUCAGGAUAUCCAUAGAAACGGAGAUUAAAAGGAUGAAAUAACUUAUUUUGUUCUAAACAAUAAUGUUGCUAUAAAUACGAACAUUUUCCUUGUUCCCUUCCUGAAAAGCACAGAACAUUUUGCCAGGCUCAUCUCUUAACAAAACAAACCAGUGUACACAAACAGUCUGCAAAUAGGUUACCCCCCAAGAAAGCGUUUCUUAUUUCCUUGCUGGGAAAUGGGCAAAAACACGGUCUGUACUUAUCCCCUUUGAAACCUCUGAGCUGCACGGUAUUUUUCAAAAUACAGCUAGUUCCCCUGUGUUACACUUCAUCUGUAAAAGGAGAAUUUAUCUUCCUCUGGGUAAGUAAGUGAUUGUAGAUUUUUUAUUUUUUUUUUCCCCUGAAAUUGUAUUUGAUCAUCAAGUGAAUUUAGUGCUCACUCAAGUCAGUGCGUUGACUACAUUGAAAAUGGCUCUGUCUAUCUUUUGAGAAGUUACAGCAGAGACAGCAGCAGAGCAAUUGCUACAGAUUAUUUCCCAAUCUGCUGCUGUCCUGGUUUGGAGGAGCACCAUGAUUUCAGCCUCCAUUUCCACUUUUUGCUGAGGCUGCUGCUUACAAAGAUACUAAUUGCAAUGGCGGGUUUUAUGUUAAUGGGUUCCACGUAAUGGUCUGCCUGACAACUACAGACCUUCAAAUUGUAAGUUGGCUGUACUGGGAAUAAAACUAAUGGCAUUUGGUUAUGAAAAUGUCAGGCCUCCACCUGGUGAACUAGGCUGGGGGCUUGAUGAGAUGGAAAUCCAAGAGCCUCCAUGCUGUGGCACAUGCAGCUGGCGCAGGGCUGGACCCAGGGAUGCUUUUCCAGAAGGAAACCCCUUUUCCUCCAGAAGUGCCACGCUUCUGGGAGGGAGGGAGGCUCUUUGCUGGGAUGGUGACUGAGUGUCUGCAGCCAGAGUGGUGGAGGGGAGGUGUGGGGUGCCCUGCCAGGGUCCCCCCUGCUCCAGGGAGGCUCUGAGACUCCGCAGAGUCUGUGGGGACAGGGCUGCCUGAGCCUCCCCAUUCUAACAACGUAACCGGUUUGGUAGCUUCAAAAUAGGAUUUUAAUCCUGGGAAGCAUCAUUUCACAUUCCAGUGAUCUAAUCAAAAUCCUUUCCUCUAAUCUCUCCAUGGUCCCCCCUUUCUAGAUGAAAGAGGCUGGAGUUCCUGUCUUCACCCUUUCUCCGCUGCCUCCCUGUUCUACCAGUCUGUUCUGUGUCCAGGCAACUGCAACGAGACAUUUCAAAGACUCCUGCCGUGCCAUGUAGAUGUUUUCUCUUGUUAGUUUGGACUGCAGGAGUUACAUCUUGUCACAUUAUUGCCAAUUUGAAAUAAAAGCUCUGUGGCUAGAUACCAAAGCUUUUAGCUGUAUAAUUUUGAAUAACUAUAAACAGCACGGCUGAUUUUAGGAAGUACUGAGAAAGCUUAACUCUGCCAGAAGACAAACACUGAGCACCUAUAAUUCCUAUUGUCUUCCGUGCAGGAUCAAGUCCCUUAUUUGCCAUUUUGUGUGGCAGCAAGCCCAAGGAAAUCUUGCUUGACAGCUCUGUGUUUCUCAAAGUGCUGUAUUUCUUCGGGCUGGAUUCUGCAAAGAUCCUGCAGGGUACAGAGCUCCUUGGAGCAAGCGAUAAUUUGCUUUGUGUUCCUGCUGAAACCUACCUAUGUAAGAUGGAAGAAAGAUCAUGGAAAAUUUGGUGCACCCUGGCAAGAAGAUUUUUUCUCCAUUCUGUAAAAUACUUGUGGUCACUGGGAGAUAAAGAUCUCGUGGCGACUGUUGGACACUUGCAUCUCGUGGGCUGCAGAGCAGGGAAACUGCAAGAAGAAGAUGGAGGGAAAUACAUAAAUAAAGCAGCUCCAAGGCUGCUCCCUCACCUACCCACUUCCCUUUCAUUCACUUCCAGGCCUAUAAAGCGGGUGAGUGCAAAGCUGACGCCGUCUUGGAGAGAAAAGAGAAGAAAAAGCUUUCUCAUUCGCUUUCCAAUCACAAACACUUCAUGUGGGGAGGAGAGAAGGGAACAUCCCUCUGCCCCCUUCCUGUAGCUGGGCUUUCUGCUCCCCUCCUCCUGGCCUGUCACCCCCCAGCACCCUUCGCUGUGGGUCCCCAGGGUGGCUCAGCCCCACGUUGGCAGAGCAGGUGCCAAGGGCAGAGGCAUCCGUGCCUGGGCCCUGUUGCAACAUGUCAGGAUGGGAGAGGAGGAGGAGGAGGCAGACAGGAGUCCAGGGAUGGAGAGACAGGUGUGUGUGGAGAUGGGGAGAUACCAACACCAACUGCCUCGCCUGCCUCCUCCACCCCUGGAAAACCAAGCCCUGAGCGCAGGGCUGCAGUGCUUGCUGGGGCUGUCGGGGCCACGAGAAGGUUCCUUGCAAUCUGUGGUGGUGAAGUUGUUUGAGGCGGUUUUUCUUCCAAUAAAUGGUGUGAGGAUUUCAUUUUGGGAAGCACAGCUUUUCUUAGCAACACCACUGUGACUGACUGAGCACAACCGUAAUUUUCUGGAAACCCAACUGUGUUCGGGGUUGUUGCAUCUGAAUGCUAGGGUAGGAGAAACAGUAAUUCUGCAUUAAUGCAGAAAGGGAGAAAACAGACACGCUUAGAAGAAGCCCUAAGUUCACUCCAGGUGCCAUAUACUGGCAAAAGUGAUGCUGCAUCCCAGAAGGAACAUUUUAAUGUAGAGAACCUCCUUUUUGAAGAGUGUACCAGGUGCCUGUCACACACAAGUGAACCAAAGUGCUUGGGACAACAUAUCAACCCAGUAUUUCUUUAAUAACAUGUAUGAAACAAAUAUUUUUUUCCCUUGGCAUUGCAUCAUUUCCUCUUUGGUGUUUGGGUGGUGAUGGAUUAUCCAACAGGAAAAAAAAAAAGCCCAUAUAAUUUUGUAUAUCUAAACAGUAUCUUCUCCUUUGGAAAAAGAGAUCCACUCUUAUUCUGGGUAUGAUUCUCCACUUAUAUGCUGGUCCUUGUUUGCAUCUGCUUGGCAUUAUCUGGGAUUGGGGCUUUAACUUGAUGUGAAUCCAAAGAAAUUUUAUGGGAAUUGAUGGGAUCACUAUGAAUUUCCAGGGAUGUAGGCUAGUGCAGACCAUAGCCUAUUAAUCUCAUUGUGUUCUUACUGUAAAUAACAAGCUGGAUUUGCCCCAACAAGAGUAAAACAAAUUGAAAGCAUUCAUAAAGAGAAGGAAAUGGGUUUAAGAUGUAAGAAUAAUGUAUUGGUGGGCUGUCUCCAAAUCUCCAGUUUUUUAAAGUACCAAAGCACAUAGGAAACUUCAGUUUAACAUGUUCCUAAAUGCCAUGGUGCAUGGAGCUGGCUGCUGAAUCAGGGUCAUAUGCAUAAGAACCUGCUUUGAUGAAAGGAUUUUAUAUUAAAAAAAAUAAUUAAAAACUGCAAGAAGGAGAAAAAGGUUCAAGGACAGCCUACCUGGAGGAAAGAAAUAUAAUUUACUUAUUUGAAAUGUUUAUAAAAGCAGUUUAUCAACAUGUAUGAAAGAGUAAUUUCUUACUUUUCAGGCUGCAACUGUCACACAGAAAAGAAACAAUUGCUUAUUUGUCUUUUUCAAGGAUUUUUAGAGAAUACAUUGCAGUUCAGGUAUUUAUUUUGACCUGCUUUUUCCUCUUUAAUAGCUUCUUGUUUCAUUGGUUAUUUCAGAUUAGCCUUUUUUUGUGUGCUCUCCUUCAUUUGUGAUUGAAAGAAACAUUUACCUGGUUUAUCCAAAAGUGGGCAUUUAUUUUAAAUUUCAUUUAAAAGCUUAGAUUUUCUUUUCACAUACAAGGGUUACCAAAUGUUAUCUGUAAACCUCACUUUCUAUUUCCCUUACAUCAUCAGUAUAAAUCUGAAGUGACACAGAAUGCCUGGAAUUGCAAUAACGCAGUGCAACAGAACUGACUAUCAAGCUUCAUAUAUAGAUUAGAUUAAUGCAUAAAUCUAAUUUGAUAUUUUACAUUACUGGGCUAAUAUUUUACAGAUGUAAUGCCAAGUUGUUAAGUAAAUGAAAAUCAUGGAGAGUCCAAUUCUGAAAGGAUUACUCAGGCAAAAAAUCCCUGAAGUCAAAGGGAGUAUUGCCUGAACGAAGUCUGCAAAAUUAGAACUAGAGCCAUAUUCCCAAAACAGACAAGCAGAUUUAUCUUAGAGAUCUGCCCAUGAGUUGAAUUCUUGUAACAAUGAAAGAUAUAUAGGGAAAAUGAACAAGCAGGUAGCCUGAAAUAUAAGGAGAGACUGAUAAGAUCACACCAACCCUGAGCAAGCACUUGUGUGGUUGGUGAUGUCAACAGGAGCCCAAGCUGCUUUAAUAAACUUGUUCAUAGUUGUCCUAAUACUGUGUUUUAUAUACUGCAGUACAUAGAUCACACAAGAGUUUAACAAGAAGAGGAUUCGUAUUAAAUUUGCACAUAAAAUACCUCCAUGAAAUAUGUG